GAGUUUGAUCAUGGCUCAGAUUGAACGCUGGCGGCAUGCUUUACACAUGCAAGUCGAACGGCAGCGGGGGCUUCGGUCCGCCGGCGAGUGGCGAACGGGUGAGUAAUGCAUCGGAACGUACCCAGUCGUGGGGGAUAACGCAGCGAAAGCUGUGCUAAUACCGCAUACGUCCUGAGGGAGAAAGCGGGGGACCUUCGGGCCUCGCGCGAUUGGAGCGGCCGAUGUCGGAUUAGCUAGUUGGUGGGGUAAAGGCUCACCAAGGCGACGAUCCGUAGCUGGUCUGAGAGGAUGAUCAGCCACACUGGGACUGAGACACGGCCCAGACUCCUACGGGAGGCAGCAGUGGGGAAUUUUGGACAAUGGGGGCAACCCUGAUCCAGCCAUGCCGCGUGAGUGAAGAAGGCCUUCGGGUUGUAAAGCUCUUUCAGUCGGGAAGAAACGGAGCGCUCUAACAUAGCGCUCUACUGACGGUACCGACAGAAGAAGCACCGGCUAACUACGUGC
rnacentral:rRNA from 1 species